rnacentral:rRNA from 1 species
CCUGCGGAAGGAUCAUUACAGAGUUCAUGCCCGAAAGGGUAGACCUCCCACCCUUGUGUAUUAUUACUUUGUUGCUUUGGCGAGCUGCCUUCGGGCCUUGUAUGCUCGCCAGAGAAUACCAAAACUCUUUUUAUUAAUGUCGUCUGAGUACUAUAUAAUAGUUAAAACUUUCAACAACGGAUCUCUUGGUUCUGGCAUCGAUGAAGAACGCAGCGAAAUGCGAUAAGUAAUGUGAAUUGCAGAAUUCAGUGAAUCAUCGAAUCUUUGAACGCACAUUGCGCCCCUUGGUAUUCCGGGGGGCAUGCCUGUUCGAGCGUCAUUUCAACCCUCAAGCUUAGCUUGGUAUUGAGUCUAUGUCAGUAAUGGCAGGCUCUAAAAUCAGUGGCGGCGCCGCUGGGUCCUGAACGUAGUAAUAUCUCUCGUUACAGGUUCUCGGUGUGCUUCUGCCAAAACCCAAAUUUUUCUAUGGUUGACCUCGGAUCAGGUAGGGAUACCCGCUGAACUUAAGCAUAUCAAUAAGCGGAGGAAA